rnacentral:rRNA from 1 species
UACAGAGGGGGCAAGCGUUGUUCGGAAUUACUGGGCGUAAAGGGCGCGUAGGCGGCCUGCUAAGUCGAACGUGAAAUCCCCGAGCUCAACUCGGGAACUGCGUCCGAUACUGGCAGGCUUGAAUCCGGGAGAGGGAUGCGGAAUUCCAGGUGUAGCGGUGAAAUGCGUAGAGAUGUGGAGGAACACCAGUGGCGAAGGCGACUUUCUGGGCUGUAACUGACGCUGAGGCGCGAAAGCGUGGGGAGCAAACAGG